AGAGUUUGAUCCUGGCUCAGGAUAAACGCUGGCGGCGUGCGUUAUGCAUGCAAGUCGAACGAGGCUAGGGCUUCGGCCCGAAACCUAGUGGCGGACGGGUGAGUAACACGUACGUGACCUGUCCAGAAGUGGGGAAUAACCAGCCGAAAGGUUGGCUAAUACCGCAUGUGGUCACCCCUUGGAAGGGGAUGACGAAAGUCGCAAGACGCUUCUGGAGGGGCGUGCGGCCGAUUAGCUAGUUGGUGUGGUAACGGCGCACCAAGGCUGUGAUCGGUAGCUGGUCUGAGAGGAUGGUCAGCCACACUGGGACUGAGACACGGCCCAGACUCCUACGGGAGGCAGCAGCAGGGAAUUUUGCGCAAUGGGCGAAAGCCUGACGCAGCAACGCCGCGUGGGGGAUGAAGGCUCUUGGGUCGUAAACCCCUUUUGCCGGGGAAGAUCAUGACGGUACCCGGCGAAUAAGCCACGGCUAACUACGUGCCAGCAGCCGCGGUAAUACGUAGGUGGCAAGCGUUGUCCGGAUUUAUUGGGCGUAAAGAGCGCGCAGGCGGUUCGUUAAGUCCGAGGUGAAAUCUCCCGGCUCAACUGGGAGGGGUCUUUGGAUACUGGCGGACUUGAGGAGAGCAGAGGUGAGUGGAAUUCUGGGUGUAGUGGUGAAAUGCGUAGAUAUCCAGAGGAACACCAGCGGCGAAGGCGGCUCACUGGGCUCCACCUGACGCUGAGGCGCGAAAGCGUGGGGAGCGAACCGGAUUAGAUACCCGGGUAGUCCACGCUGUAAACGAUGGGCACUAGGUGUGAGGGGUAUUGACCCCCUUCGUGCCGAAGCUAACGCAGUAAGUGCCCCGCCUGGGGAGUACGGCCGCAAGGCUAAAACUCAAAUGAAUUGACGG
rnacentral:rRNA from 1 species